rnacentral:tRNA from 1 species
GCCUGGAUGGCUCAGUCGGUUGAGCGUCCGACUUCGGCUCAGGUCACGAUCUUGCAGCUGGUGGGUUUGAGCCCCAUGUCGGGCU